rnacentral:rRNA from 1 species
AAACCAGCACCUCAAGUGGUCAGGAUGAUUAUUGGGCCUAAAGCAUCCGUAGCCUGCUGUAUCAGUUUUCGGUUAAAUCCAUGUGCUCAACACAUGGGCUGCCGGGAAUACUGUACAGCUAGGGAGUGGGAGAGGUAGACGGUACUCGGUAGGAAGUGGUAAAAUGCUUUGAUCUAUCGAUGACCACCUGUGGCGAAGGCGGUCUACCAGAACACGUCCGACGGUGAGGGAUGAAAGCUGGGGGAGCAAACCGGAUUAGAAACCCGGGUAGUCC